UGCUCUCAUCGCUCCAUAAAGGACCUGACCCAGCUGUCCGACCCUCAGCUCAAGUGGGUGUGUGGCAAGCACUGACCUUGACCCACUUACCGAUCGAUAAAGUGCUUACAGUCGUGUGCUGUUCAGUGUUCAGCGUCUGGUCUCGUAUAUUCAGUUCAGCUUCAUGAAAGUUGUAUAUAAAAUAUAGCGGGUUCUUAAUAAGCCAAUAUAUUAAUCACUGCUUUGUACUUGUAAGAGAGAUACGUGUAUAUGUAUAUGAAUACAUUGCUAGAAAUGAAUACUUUUGACUGUUUGUAUUUACCAUUAUGAACAAGGAAAAAAAUUUUAAAUCAGGGUCAAAAGUCAUUCCUGUUUAUCGUUUUUGGAGUAAAUGUACACAUGUUGUUUUGAACUAGAUGUUACAUUUCUAGUCUAAACUAUUGUUAUAUUGUGUGAAUAAGUAACAAAAUGCUCAAUGAUAUGACCCAAAAUAGGUAAAAUGCUUGAUAAGAUACUUUAAAUAAAUGACUUUUUUGAUAGCUCACCGGCCGUAAAAGCUAAAGUGAGCUUUUCUGAUCACUUUCCGUCUCUCUGUCAGUCCAUCCACCUGUAAACUUUUCACAUUUUAUUACCUCUUUUCCAGAACAACUGGGCCAGUUGUAGCCAAACUUGGUUAGGUCACACGUAUUUGUCAGGAUAUUUGUAUUCAAUAUCAUUAAGCUGAUUUGAUCAGAGUUAUGGCAAUGUGUUGCUCAGAUGAGCGAUGUGGCCUUUGGCCUCUUGUUUUUUGUUAUUAUCUUUAAUGAAGAUAAUUGGUUGUACGUAUAUACAGCUUUCUGUCCAGUGUGUUGGUGGUGAUCACAGUAUACUCAACAGUAUUAUAAUGAGUCAACUGACAGCGACUCACUGAAGGUUUAAAUAAUGGUUUGCCCUUUCAAAGAAUCUAAAUGUACAUCACUAAUUCUUCUAAUUCCUGUAUGCCUUAUCUAGAUUUAUGACUUCUCAUGCAGUAUAUAUUGAUGUGGAUUUGAGCCUCCUCAUGCAGUGAAUAUUUAUAUGGACUUUAAUAAACCUUUUCACUUGGUGAAUAUUAUGUUUUCCAAACAACAUCACUUUGUUUUUUGUGUCCUACUAUGUUCCACUCUAAAGAUAAAUAAAGUGUUCAAACA
rnacentral:misc_RNA from 1 species